GAGAGAGAGAGAGAGAGAGGGAGAGAGAAAAGUUUGCUUAUUCAACCAAUAUUCAGAAUUUUGUAUAAUUUCGAAUACUCAAUCCAAUUCAAGGACAUUGUCAGAUACGGAUAAUAAUGGAGGUGUCCCUAGGCCAGCUCAGUGCGGACGGACACCACACAUAGAGCAAAAGAACAAAAACUGACUUGAUCUCGUCAGUGUUCAAUACACAUAGGGACAGCAAAAGCUCGGCCUAUUGAUUCUUUUGAUUCAAGAGGUAUUAGAGAAAUUAUCACUGGGAUAAUUGGCUUGUGGCGGCCAAGCCUUCAGAGCGUCGUAUGGGUUGAUAUGGGUUCUUGCUAUCAUUGUGAAGCAAAAUACUCCAACCGUUAGACUAUUCACCCAUACAAGUCAAUGUGAGCUGGGUUUAGACCGUCAUGAGACAGAUUAAUUUCACUCUACUAAUGACAAUAUGCUGUUGCGACAGCAUUCCUGCGUAAUAGGGCCAAUGGAACGAUACUUGUUCGGCGGAAUAGUCGUAUGACGCUACAUCCUAAUUUUGUAAUCGACUUUGCUCUUACAUCAGACUGUAUUAUCUUCUACAUUAAUUUAUUUAAUUUGAUUUUUGUUGCACACUUGACCAUAAGUGUUCAUCACUUUUUCCAUAUGCUGUAUUCUGCAAAGUUUUGAUAAACUUGAAAUGUCAGAAAAAAUCAAAAAUCACCAAAAUAAAAAAUUAUAAUGAAAGUUUUCUUGAAAGUGGUAA
rnacentral:ncRNA from 1 species